ACGAAGGGGGCUAGCGUUGCUCGGAAUUACUGGGCGUAAAGGGCGCGUAGGCGGACAGUUUAGUCAGAGGUGAAAGCUCAGGGCUCAACCUUGGAAUUGCCUUUGAUACUGGCUGUCUUGAGUUCGGGAGAGGUGAGUGGAAUGCCGAGUGUAGAGGUGAAAUUCGUAGAUAUUCGGCGGAACACCAGUGGCGAAGGCGACUCACUGGCCCGAUACUGACGCUGAGGCGCGAAAGCGUGGGGAGCAAACAGGAUUAGAUACCCUGGUAGUCCACGCUGUAAACGAUGAGUGCUAGUUGUCGGCAUGCAUGCAUGUCGGUGACGCAGCUAACGCAUUAAGCACUCCGCCUGGGGAGUACGGUCGCAAGAUUA
rnacentral:rRNA from 1 species